rnacentral:rRNA from 1 species
GACGUAGGAGGCGAGCGUUGUCCGGAUUCAUUGGGCGUAAAGAGCACGCAGGCGGUUUGGCAAGUCGGAUGUGAAAACCCGAAGCUCAACUUCGGGCCUGCAGUGGGUACGGGCAGACUAGAGUGUGGUAGGGGAGACUGGAAUUCCUGGUGUAGCGGUGGAAUGCGCAGAUAUCAGGAGGAACACCGAUGGCGAAGGCAGGUCUCUGGGCCACUACUGACGCUGAGAAGCGAAAGCAUGGGGAGCGAACAGG